UUUAUUGGGCGUAAGCGAGCGCAGGCGGUUUUUUAAGUCUGAUGUGAAAGCCUUCGGCUCAMCCGAAGAAGUGCAUCGGAAACUGGGAAACUUGAGUGCAGAAGAGGACAGUGGAACUCCAUGUGUAGCGGUGAAAUGCGUAGAUAUAUGGAAGAACACCAGUGGCGAAGGCGGCUGUCUGGUCUGUAACUGACGCUGAGGCUCGAAAGUAUGGGUAGCAAACAGGAUUAGAUACCCUGGUAGUCCAUACCGUAAACGAUGAAUGCUAAGUGUUGGAGGGUUUCCGCCCUUCAGUGCUGCAGCUAACGCAUUAAGCAUUCCGCCUGGGGAGUACGGCCGCAAGGCUGAAACUCAAAGGAAUUGACGGGGGCCCGCACAAGCGGUGGAGCAUGUGGUUUAAUUCGAAGCUACGCGAAGAACCUUACCAGGUCUUGACAUACUAUGCAAAUCUAAGAGAUUAGACGUUCCCUUCGGGGACAUGGAUACAGGUGGUGCAUGGUUGUCGUCAGCUCGUGUCGUGAGAUGUUGGGUUAAGUCCCGCAACGAGCGCAACCCUUAUUAUCAGUUGCCAGCAUUAAGUUGGGCACUCUGGUGAGACUGCCGGUGACAAACCGGAGGAAGGUGGGGAUGACGUCAAAUCAUCAUGCCCCUUAUGACCUGGGCUACACACGUGCUACAAUGGAUGGUACAACGAGUUGCGAACUCGCGAGAGUAAGCUAAUCUCUUAAAGCCAUUCUCAGUUCGGAUUGUAGGCUGCAACUCGCCUACAUGAAGUCGGAAUCGCUAGUAAUCGCGGAUCAGCAUGCCGCGGUGAAUACGUUCCCGGGCCUUGUACACACCGCCCGUCACACCAUGAGAGUUUGUAACACCCAAAGUCGGU
rnacentral:rRNA from 2 species